GCGAAAUAAAUACCAACAAUGUGUAGCCCUGACUCACGCCCCUUUCUCGUGCUCUGUUGAAAAUAAAACUGCAGAACAUAUAAAGAACAAUCCUGCGCCAUGUUUUUCUCGUUAUGAUGGACCUCCCAUCACUGUCGGUCAGACGCACUGAUGCGCGACAAUGAGCUGAUCCAACGGAAGUAGAGGUGCAGGGCAUCCAUCUGGGGCUGUGGCUGUGUCAAAAUGCUGCAAUAGCACCAGACUGCAAUCUACUCAUUACCCUUGGUGUACUCAAGGAGCUGUCUGACGAUCAUUUGAUGCUUUAACCAGUACUGGUUGUGGGUCAAGCUGAAUCAAAUCAUCUUGUGAUUUCUUGUCAGUAUAGUCAUGUUAUUUUAUCUCUGCAAUUUCAUAGAAAGGACCAGAGUUAACACUUACCGACCAAACUAUCUCAAGUGAUUGCCAUAAUGGCUGCUCCUGGUCCAAGAUGAUUCCUCCUUUGAUCCUCCUUUGAGCCAAACUGACACCUUCCAUAAGCUCCUCUGGAAUCCUCAUCAGCCUCCAGAGUCGUCACUCGCAGCUCCUUCCACCUUCAAGUUCUCUGCAUGCCCACUAUCAUACUUGCCUUCUACAGACUCUGAAAACCUCACCCUCUUCCAUCAUGCACAGACGGAAAGAGAGCUCAGUUGGCAGUCUUGCCUUGCAGCAAGAAGGUCCUGUGUUUGAACCCCAGCCUGGGGUCUUCUGCAUGAAGUUAGCAUGUUCUCCUCGGGAAGUAUGGGUUAUCUCAGGUACUCCAGCUCCCUCCCAAAGUCCUAAAACAUGACUACAGAUAAGCAGAUAUUUUUUGGGAGCAUUAAACAUCAAGAAUACCAAAGGAAAUUAGGCAAGUAAUGGAUAAAGAUAAGAAGCCUAAAGCAGAGUUACAUUACAAAACAUCCAAAACUUUGAAUAUCUAUAAAAUCUGAUAGUAAAUGGCACCAUUGCAAAUCUAGUAAGACUGGGUGGGUGAAUACCAAUGCAUCCUUGGCUGUUUAUUUAUUAAAAACAAAAUAAAACUAUGUAUGGUUUUCCUUUCA